rnacentral:rRNA from 1 species
AACGAACGCUGGCGGCAUGCCUAACACAUGCAAGUCGAACGAGACCUUCGGGUCUAGUGGCGCACGGGUGCGUAACGCGUGGGAACCUGCCCUUAGGUUCGGAAUAACUCCCCGAAAGGGGUGCUAAUACCGGAUAAUGUCUUCGGACCAAAGAUUUAUCGCCUUUGGAUGGGCCCGCGUUGGAUUAGCUAGUUGGUAGGGUAAAAGCCUACCAAGGCGACGAUCCAUAGCUGGUCUGAGAGGAUAAUCAGCCACACUGGGACUGAGACACGGCCCAGACUCCUACGGGAGGCAGCAGUGGGGAAUAUUGGACAAUGGGCGAAAGCCUGAUCCAGCAAUGACACGUGAGUGAUGAAGGCCUUAGGGUUGUAAAGCUCUUUUACCCGGGAUGAUAAUGACAGUACCGGGAGAAUAAGCUCCGGCUAACUCCGUG